AUGGCGCAUUCAACUCCUACUGAUGAAUGGUUGACCACUCUCCGAGCAUACCGCCGUGCCAGGGGCCUUUGUUAUCUUUGUGGUAAGAAAUGGUCCAGGGAUCACAAGUGUGCGACUGUCGUGCAACUGCAUGUUGUACAAGAGCUUUUUGAUGUCUUGGGUAUCUUAGGGUUUGACAGACCGUCUGAUCAGUCAGAUUCUCCUAGUGAACGUCAUACAAUUUCCAGAGCAGCUGUGGGAGGCACAGUCACACCUCAGACUGUGCGUUUGCAAGGAUCCAUCCAAAAGCACAAGGUGUUGAUGCUGAUUGACUCGGGCAGCUCACACAGUUUUGUCAGUUCAGCCUUGGCAACUCGAUUGUCUGGAGUGGAGGUAUCCACUCGUUCUCUUCAAGUGCAUGUGGCGGACGGGGGGCAGUUGCAGUGUACAUAUGAGCUCCCGGCUUGUCAAUGGACUAUGCAAGGGCAUAAAUUUUGA
rnacentral:rRNA from 1 species